rnacentral:rRNA from 1 species
AGCGAACGCUGGCGGCAUGCCUAACACAUGCAAGUCGAACGAACCGUUCGGGGUUAGUGGCGGACGGGGGAGGAGCCCGAGGGGACGUGCCCUUAGGUACGACAUACCUCAGGGAAACUUGUACUAAUACCGAAUGUGCCCUUCUGGGGGACGAUUUAUCGCCUUUAGAGGGUCCCGCGUCUGAUUAGCUAGUUGGGUUAGGUAAUGGCGCAUCAAGGCGACGAUAAGUAGCUGGUCUGUGAGGAAGGUCCGCCACAUAGGGACUGUGACACGGCCCAGACUCCUACGCGAGGGAGCAGUGGGUAAUCUUGCGAAAUGGGCGGAGGGCUGACGCUGCCAUGACCGGUGAAUGCUGUAAGUAUUAGAAUAGAUAAAUUCUUUCAACGGUGAACAUAAUGACGGUACCCAGAGAAGAAGCCCCGGCUAACUUCGUG